AUCAUUCCCGGACAGUACGUGAAAUAAAGCACAGUGAAACAUAACAUAACAUGUGCCUCCAUAUAUCCAAGCUUGGGUACACGGGCUUGACCCAACCCCUUGGGCGGAUGGUGGCACAUGGCGAACCAGGAGGGG
rnacentral:ribozyme from 1 species